rnacentral:rRNA from 1 species
UAAUGGCCCACCAAGGCGACGACGGGUAGCCGGCCUGAGAGGGCGACCGGCCACACUGGGACUGAGACACGGCCCAGACUCCUACGGGAGGCAGCAGUGGGGAAUAUUGCGCAAUGGGCGAAAGCCUGACGCAGCGACGCCGCGUGAGGGAUGACGGCCUUCGGGUUGUAAACCUCUUUCAGCAGGGACGAAUUCAGACGGUACCUGCAGAAGAAGCACCGGCCAACUACGUGCCAGCAGCCGCGGUAAUACGUAGGGUGCAAGCGUUGUCCGGAAUUAUUGGGCGUAAAGAGCUCGUAGGCGGUCUGUCGCGUCGGCUGUGAAAACUUGGGGCUCAACCCCAAGCCUGCAGUCGAUACGGGCAGACUAGAGUGUGGUAGGGGAGACUGGAAUUCCUGGUGUAGCGGUGAAAUGCGCAGAUAUCAGGAGGAACACCGGUGGCGAAGGCGGGUCUCUGGGCCAUAACUGACGCUGAGGAGCGAAAGCGUGGGGAGCGAACAGGAUUAGAUACCCUGGUAGUCCACGCCGUAAACGGUGGGUGCUAGGUGUAAGCGGUAUUCCACGCCGUUCGUGCCGCAGCUAACGCAUUAAGCA